AGUGAACGCUGGCGGUAGGCCUAACACAUGCAAGUCGAACGGCAGCACAGUAAGAGCUUGCUCUUACGGGUGGCGAGUGGCGGACGGGUGAGGAAUACAUCGGAAUCUACUUUUUCGUGGGGGAUAACGUAGGGAAACUUACGCUAAUACCGCAUACGACCUACGGGUGAAAGCAGGGGAUCUUCGGUCCUUGCGCGAUUGAAUGAGCCGAUGUCGGAUUAGCUAGUUGGCGGGGUAAAGGCCCACCAAGGCGACGAUCCGUAGCUGGUCUGAGAGGAUGAUCAGCCACACUGGAACUGAGACACGGUCCAGACUCCUACGGGAGGCAGCAGUGGGGAAUAUUGGACAAUGGGCGCAAGCCUGAUCCAGCCAUACCGCGUGGGUGAAGAAGGCCUUCGGGUUGUAAAGCCCUUUUGUUGGGAAAGAAAAGCAGCAGGUUAAUACCCCGCUGCUCUGACGGUACCCAAAGAAUAAGCACCGGCUAACUUCGUG
rnacentral:rRNA from 1 species